rfam:Trichoderma virens Gv29-8 TRIVIscaffold_1, whole genome shotgun sequence.
GCCCGGGUAGCUCAAUUGGCUAGAGCGUGCGGCUUUUAACCGCAAGGUUGGGGGUUCGACCCCCCCCUCGGGCG